GUAACCUACGGGGCGCAGCAGUGAGGAAUAUUGGUCAAUGGGCGGGAGCCUGAACCAGCCAAGCCGCGUGAGGGAAGAAGGUACAGCGUAUCGUAAACCUCUUUUGUCAGGGAACAAAGGCGGGGACUAGUCCCCGGAUGAGGGUACCUGAAGAAAAAGCAUCGGCUAACUCCGUGCCAGCAGCCGCGGUAAUACGGAGGAUGCGAGCGUUAUCCGGAUUUAUUGGGUUUAAAGGGUGCGCAGGCGGCCUGUUAAGUCAGCGGUAAAAUGUCCGGGCUCAACCCGGGCCGGCCGUUGAAACUGGG
rnacentral:rRNA from 1 species